CUGAUGGCAACAGAAUUUCAGACAGUACAGAAAUGUGGCAGCUACUGCAGCAGCCUGUGCAGAAUGGAUUUGCAGAGGACUUCAUAAAUUGCACAUGUUAAGAAUGUAGAAAGAUUCCAGUGUUUUCUCAACGGCAACUAUCAGGCUAAC